CGUGGGUAACCUGCCCAAGAGAUCGGGAUAACACCUGGAAACAGAUGCUAAUACCGGAUAACAACAGAUGAUGCCUAUCAACUGUUUAAAAGAUGGUUCUGCUAUCACUCUUGGAUGGACCUGCGGUGCAUUAGCUAGUUGGUAGGGUAACGGCCUACCAAGGCGAUGAUGCAUAGCCGAGUUGAGAGACUGAUCGGCCACAUUGGGACUUAGACACGGCCCAAACUCCUACGGGAGGCAGCAGCC
rnacentral:rRNA from 1 species